rnacentral:rRNA from 1 species
UACGGGGGGGGCAAGCGUUGUUCGGAAUUACUGGGCGUAAAGGGCUCGUAGGUGGCCAACUAAGUCAGACGUGAAAUCCCUCAGCUUAACUGGGGAACUGCGUCUGAUACUGGAUGGCCUGAGUUUGGGAGAGGGAUGCGGAAUUCCAGGUGUAGCGGUGAAAUGCGUAGAUAUCUGGAGGAACGCCGGUGGCGAAGGCGGCCUUCUGGACAGUGACUGACGCUGAGACGCGAAAGCGUGGGGAGCAAACAGG